rnacentral:sRNA from 1 species
CGGGUUGGGCAGGGAACUGGCAGCAUCGCUCCUAGAAUGCGAGUGCCAUUUGUCUCCGGCCGGGGGUCAGAUCCUCGGGAAGCCGAGCCACCCCAUCCAGCCGCUUGCCCCAAACCGGGCGCAGGCCGUGGUCACUUCUCUAGGAAGCUCCGAAGAUCCCGCCACUCCGUCCCUCAAAGGUGCGGAAAGCCGGCUUCCCCCAGCCCUCGGAGAAGAUUCCUGACUCUCCGCUCGGUCGGGGCAUCUGAGGGCAGGAGCUGCUCCAGGCGUACCGGAUAGACCAGUGGACAACACCCACGCCGGAACGCCUGUCCCCUACCCGAACCCAGACUCGGCGCCGCACAUUGCCCCGGGGGGGCCCGGCGCAGUCACGCGCGCGCAGAGCUCACGCUCUCCGCCCCGCACACCUGCGCUCCGCCCCGUGGUCCUGGGCCCGCGACGGGCGAAGGCAUUUGGGAAGCCAGGGCGGCUGCGGUGGCGAUCUCCCUGACCCAGGGCCGGAGUUGCCCGGAGCCUGCCGCCGCUCUCAGCCAGCCCGCAUCCUUCUCUGUCCUUCCCUCCCCCCGCCUGCCACGGCGCGGGUAUCCGCAGCCACAGCCCGGGGCCGGUGAGGCGGCGAAGGGGGAGGGGAGGAAUCAAGGGAUGAGCGCCGGAAGGGCGUCGGGGGCCCUGAGCCGCACUAGGACGCCCCUGGAGCCGGAACCCCAGCAGAAGCCGGAACCAGAACCAAAUCACCGGUACCGGGUGGGCCAGGUGGUCAGGGUGGGAGAAACCAAAAAGGGAGAGGGGUGCGGGAAUACUGAGAGGAAGGGGCUGCAGAGGCCUGGCUCAGGCCGGCGCGGAGGAGGUGCGGGCGCUGACUCAGGCACGAUUUUUGCUCCCGCCGCCUAAGAAUGCCGUCCCAUCUCGUGCUGCAGUGUCCUUGGGAGGGACAGAAGCGCGAACGAGCUGGAAAGGGGAACGCUCGGGGCGUCGGGGAAACGGGACCAGGGUCGUGGUAGAGAGCUUGCGUUGCCGCUGACCUCUUGCCGAAAGGCGAAACAGCACUCCUGGCCCGGACAGCUCCCUGGUUGGGUAGGGGGUGGGGCCGGACCUCAGCCGGACGUCUUAGACGUGCCUGUUUCAGAUCCUGAGGACGGCAUUCCUACCCCUCCCCCAUUCCCAGCUGCAGCCCCCUAAACCCAGGAGGCGCCCUGGCCCGCGCUCGCCCCCCAGGGCCUCAUGUCGGAACCACAGCCUGACCUGGAACCGCCCCAACAUGGGCUGUAUAUGCUCUUCCUGCUUGUGCUGGUCUUCUUCCUCAUGGGCCUGGUAGGCUUCAUGAUCUGCCACGUGCUCAAGAAGAAGGGCUACCGCUGCCGCACGUCGAGGGGCUCUGAGCCUGACGAUGCCCAGCUUCAGCCCCCUGAGGACGAUGACAUGAAUGAGGACACAGUAGAGAGGAUUGUUCGCUGCAUCAUCCAAAAUGAAGUGUGGAUGCCACCUCCAGCCUGCAGGACGGAGCCCCCUCCCAUCAUCACACAGUGCACCUGGGCUCUGCAGCCCCUUGCAUCCAUUGCAGCCGCAGCAAGAGGCCUCCACUUGUCCGUCAGGGACGCUCCAAGGAAGGAAAAAGCCGCCCCCGGACAGGGGAGACCACUGUGUUCUCUGUGGGCAGGUUCCGGGUGACACACAUUGAGAAGCGCUAUGGACUGCACGAACACCGUGAUGGCUCCCCCACGGACAGGAGCUGGGGCUCUGGUGGGGGACAGGACCCAGGGGGUGGUCAGGGGUCUGGGGGAGGGCAGCCCAAGGCAGGGAUGCCUGCCAUGGAGAGGCUGCCCCCUGAGAGGCCACAGCCCCAGGUCCUAGCCAGCCCCCCAGUACAGAAUGGAGGACUCAGGGACAGCAGCCUAGCCCCUCGUGCACUUGAAGGGAACUGCAGAGCUUCUGCAGAGCCAACACUGAGGGCCGGAGGGAGGGGCCCAAGCCCAGGGCUGCCCACUCAAGAGGCAAAUGGGCAGCCAAGCAAACCAGACACUUCCGAUCACCAGGUGUCUCUACCACAGGGAGCAGGGAGUAUGUGAGUCUCCUUCUUCACUGUGCUGAUGGACUACCAGCUGGCAGGGCCAGGGGGUGGGUGGACGUGAAGGCCCUCCCCUCCACUGGACAGCACUGCCCCCCAGCUGAGGGACCAGCUCUACUUCCACCUGGAGUUGCACAGUCUCAGGCUGGGAGCCUCAGGAGAGGUCACAGCCCCUCAGUCUCUUCUCCUUCCCCUGCCUGCAACAGGCUGCCUGCCCCGCCUUCCCCAACACCUCGCUCCAUAUGAUAGAGCGUGGCAGCUGGGAGCAGGCCCCUGCCCCUGGUGGGCCCCUAAAGCAAUAGCACCGUAGGCCCCCUGCCCUCUUAGCAUAAGAGGCCCAGGCCGUGGCCUGGCCUGGCCUUCGUGCCCUUUAUUCAUUGUCAAUAAAUCCGCUCAGACCAUUA